rnacentral:rRNA from 1 species
GAUGAACGCUGGCGGCGUGCCUAACACAUGCAAGUCGAACGGAGUCGUUUUGGCAAUCUCUUCGGAGAUGGAAUUCUCGACUUAGUGGCGGACGGGUGAGUAACGCGUGAGCAAUCUGCCUUUAAGAGGGGGAUAACAGUCGGAAACGGCUACUAAUACCGCAUAAAGCAUUAAAUUCGCAUGUUUUUGAUGCCAAAGGAGCAAUCCGCUUUUAGAUGAGCUCGCGUCUGAUUAGCUAGUUGGCGGGGUAACGGCCCACCAAGGCGACGAUCAGUAGCCGGACUGAGAGGUUGAACGGCCACAUUGGGACUGAGACACGGCCCAGACUCCUACGGGAGGCAGCAGUGGGGAAUAUUGCGCAAUGGGGGAAACCCUGACGCAGCAACGCCGCGUGAUUGAAGAAGGCCUUCGGGUUGUAAAGAUCUUUAAUCAGGGACGAAACAAAUGACGGUACCUGAAGAAUAAGCUCCGGCUAACUACGUG